rnacentral:rRNA from 1 species
CCUACGGGAGGCAGCAGUGGGGAAGUAUUGGACAAUGGGCGAAAGCCUGAUCCAGCAAUUCCGCGUGUGUGAAGAAGGCCUUCGGGUUGUAAAGCACUUUAGUGAGGGAAGAAACAGCUUGGCCACACCAAGCCUUGACGGUACCCCAAGAAUAAGCACCGGCUAACUCUGUGCCAGCAGCCGCGGUAAUACAGAGGGUGCAAGCGUUAAUCGGAUUUACUGGGCGUAAAGGGUGCGUAGGUGGCUAUUUAAGUCGGAUGUGAAAGCCCGGGGCUCAACCUCGGAAUUGCAUUCGAUACUGAGUGGCUAGAGUUCGGUAGAGGGCGGCGGAAUUUCCGGUGUAGCGGUGAAAUGCGUAGAUAUCGGAAGGAACAUCAAUGGCGAAGGCAGCCGCCUGGGCCUGGACUGACACUGAGGCACGAAAGCGUGGGUAGCAAACAGGAUUAGAUACCCUGGUAGUCCACGCCGUAAACGAUGAGAACUUGACGUUGGUUCGUUUUACGAAUCGGUGUCGCNGCUACGACGAGUAGUUACGUCCGUCCGUCGGAGGUACGGUCCGGCGACGUAGUAACGUACGAACGAAGUAGUACGGCGUGAGACGUGCGACGACGACGACGACGGGAGGUAGG